GCGACCCCAGGUCAGGCGGGGCUACCC
rnacentral:rRNA from 2 species